rnacentral:rRNA from 1 species
AUACGAUCUACGGAUAGAAAGGCGGGGGAUCGCAAGACCUCGCGCGAGUGGAGCGGCCGAUGUCAGAUUAGGUAGUUGGUGGGGUAAAGGCUCACCAAGCCAACGAUCUGUAGCUGGUCUGAGAGGACGACCAGCCACACUGGAACUGAGACACGGUCCAGACUCCUACGGGAGGCAGCAGUGGGGAAUUUUGGACAAUGGGCGCAAGCCUGAUCCAGCCAUUCCGCGUGCAGGAUGAAGGCCUUCGGGUUGUAAACUGCUUUUGUACGGAACGAAACGGCGAGCUCUAAUACAGUUUGCUAAUGACGGUACCGUAAGAAUAAGCACCGGCUAACUACGUG